AGCUUCAGUAGCGUAUAUUAAAGUUGUUGCAUUUAAAAAGCUCGUAGUUGGUGAUUCGCUACUGCUCAACGUCCGCUUUGCGUUCGAGAGCGUCAGUUGAUACAUGGCUUACCAGCCACAUACACUGUGAGUAAAUUAGAGGGAUCCAAACAGGCUUUGCCAGAAUGUUUCAGCAUGGUAUGGGUUCUUGGCUACGUCGGCUUUCGGCUUGCUGAUGGUGCUGACGAAGUAAAGGUUAAUAGGGACAGAUGAUGGGAUUCGUAUUGAGUUGCUAGAGGUGAAAUUCUUGGACCAACUCAAGACGACCAGAAGCGAAAGCUCUUCUCACAGAUGCUCUUA
rnacentral:rRNA from 1 species